rnacentral:rRNA from 1 species
UACGUAGGUGACAAGCGUUGUCCGGAUUUACUGGGCGUAAAGAGCGCGCAGGCGGUCGUUCAAGUCGAGUGUGAAAGCCCCCCGGCUCAACUGGGGAGGGUCACUCGAUACUGAUCGACUCGAAGGCAGGAGAGGGAAGUGGAAUUCCCGGUGUAGUGGUGAAAUGCGUAGAUAUCGGGAGGAACACCAGUGGCGAAGGCGGACUUCCUGGCCUGUUCUUGACGCUGAGGCGCGAAAGCUAGGGGAGCAAACGGG